ensembl:lncRNA
AGGAAUGAUAAACUAACUGGACCUGAGUGUGUCCCGGGAGAUGAGGGAAUGGGCAGGCAGCGUGGGCAGACUAGCUCCCUAGAACUUUGACAGCAAGCCUCUUCUCAAGGGAAGGAGUCAGCUGAUUUCUCAGAAAGCAACCACCAAAUUCUAGAACAUACUUAACAUUUCUGUCUAGUCUGUUCUUAAUCUGAAUCUAGGUCCACUCAAAGAGGUUAGCAGGCGAUCAAGAUGGGAAGGAUGAGGAAAGAAUGGAGGUGGAGAGUUGACCAUAUGGGCUGGAAGGGAACCUCGUAGGAAUACAGGCAGCUGGGGGAAGAACUGCAAGAAUAAGUUCUUAGAGAAGGAGACGGUUAAAAAGGUAGGGAUAAAAGUGCUGUGAAAUGAUGGAUGGAAGCCAUUACCUUUCUGCCCCUCUCAAUUCACACUUAAUGGAUAGUAAAAUGAGUAAAACCCUAAGACUUUAGGGCAUGGGAGAAGAACUGACAAUGGACAGAUGUCAACACAUUUCUGGAAGGCUGAAAACAAGACAGGGGAAGAUGGGAACCAAAUGCUGUGAUGAGAAUGCAGAUAUGUUCAGGAUUUGCCAGCAACAGAUGUGUUCUUAUAAGAAACUCCAAAGAGAUAAUUACCAGAGGCUAAUUUACAGAUGCCAGCAGGAACGGAAAUGGAGUGAAUGGCUGCCCACAGAGAUAGGAAUUGGAUUUUAUCAAGAGUCGUGGACAAGCAUGGUUGUUCUCAGAAGGAAAAAAAAGUCCAGAAGAGUGACUGGUUAAGAAAUAUGAUAACAAAAUGAAUUAUCCAAAGGGCAGUGCAGUAUUUAAAACCAUUGCUUUAGAGUUAGACUAAGUCUAGGUUUAAAUUUUUGCUGCUCCAUUUAACAUUUGGAAACCUUGGCUGAGCUGCUUAACCUAAGCCUCAAUUUCUCACCUGCAAUGUCAGCGUAAUAGAAUCUGUCUCAAAGUUGUGAGGAAAAAAGAAACAUGUAGAACAGUUAACUCAGUAUUUAGAACAUAAUAAAUAAUGAAUGUUAGCUCUUAUUAUUAAUUAAAUGCCUCCAGUUAAAGUGCC